rnacentral:rRNA from 1 species
AGUGAACGCUGGCGGUAGGCCUAACACAUGCAAGUCGAACGGCAGCACAGGAGAGCUUGCUCUCUGGGUGGCGAGUGGCGGACGGGUGAGGAAUACAUCGGGAAUCUACCUUUUCGUGGGGGAUAACGUAGGGAAACUUACGCUAAUACCGCAUACGACCUACGGGUGAAAGUGGGGGACCGCAAGGCCUCACGCGAUUA